UUUGUAUACCCUUAAUUCAGUUUUGUGUAAUAUUGGGUAGCCAAUAUACAGAUGAAAACUAAUACUCGGUUAUUCAGCUCUGUAUAAAAAGUUUGCUGUUGUUGGAAAGCUUUGGGCGGGGAUGUCAAAGCAAACAAAUUUUCCAAAUUCGCUACCGGUUAUCACAAUGGUUUCAAUUUUUCAUCAUUUUUGCGUUGAAAUCAUCAUAAAUAUCUCACGAAAGGUAUGUAUUCUUAUGAUUCAACUUCAUUGUUUGACCUUUACAAUGAUUUCAGGGAUAUUUUUCACACAGUUGCGGAAGAAGCCAACGGUCGUGUUUGAAACUGGCUGAAGUUUGGAAAAUGGUUCAUCGUUCUGAUCUUUAUUUAACGCUCCUUAUGCUGUUCCGGAAAGUCGAAAGAAUGCAACUGGAGGAUGAGCUUGAUGCCUUCUCGCCCGGUUAAAAUUAUUUCCUCUGAUCAAAACAGAGCCUAUUUCUCUUCAAACCUUUUACCCGACGGGAGUGCUCUACGAAAUACUGCAGUUGAAACGCCGCGGCCGUAUUUUGUUCUUAAAGAAUUGAUAUAUUACACCCAUGACUGGAUCGCACAAAAGCAAAUGCCGGACGAUCGUGCCGGAUGAUGGAAAAGGUGGAACAAAUCGACGACGAUAACUCUACCAAGGAAUCCCAACCGACGGUUAAACAUAAGCGAGCCUUCAAGUAUCACACGUUAGCUUGAAGGCACC